UCAGGUGAAGAUAGCAUAAGGGCUCCACCUCUUCCCAUUCCGAACAGAGAAGUUAAACCUUAUCACGCCGAUGGUACUGCGAAAGCGGGAGAGUAGGUAAUCGCCACCU
rnacentral:rRNA from 1 species